GAACAUAGCAUGACCAUCUCCAUUUUAUAUUCAGGUUGCCAUGUUAUAGUUUAAAGGAAAGGUAUAAAAAAGCUUCACAUGAAGGAUAGAUGGUUAUCUAUAGAUACCUUCCACCUAGAUAUGUAUGAAUGGAAUUUCACCUCUGCUAAUGUUUGUUUAAGAUCUUAGGUCACAUCCAUAUAUUAACUGAACUUAUACAACAUAUACUAUCUAAUAGGAAAUGAUUAACCUGAAUGUAUUAUUGUAAUUACACUAUGCCCUUGAGAAACUCCUCCUUUGUCCUUCUAAAUCUGUAUAUAUAUGAGGGGCUAACUCAAGUAAAACAGAUGUCAUUUGAACACAACGCAUGCUAGUUUUUCUUGUGUCAAUUGAUGUCUCCGGGCUCGUGGGCUGAUGAAAUCUAUCUCCGUCAUUUGAACCUAACAACCUACCUGGGUGGUCUUAUACAAGUGAUUCGCCUAACAGCAAUGGGGGCUUCGUCCGAGAUAAAAGCUGAAAUCAACUGAGAAACCAACUCAUCCCUUUCAAGUGGGAGAUGUCGUAGUGGUCCAGCAACUGAAGUGUACCAAGAAGGAAGAGUAUCCAUUUGGACCCCCGACUACAGUGAUCGCGGUUACCCGAACAGCUAUUCUGGUAGAGGGACAACAGGCUUGGAUCCAUGCCAGUCGUGUGAAGAAGAUGAACCAAAGAUAAAGGAGGUGAAGAAGAUGACGUCGCUUAUUUCACCGCAGACUUCUGGGAAAGCCUUGUGCCUCAUAUUCUGGGCUGCCCUGAUCAUAUUCCUGCCAAUUUGGCUGACAACUAACUGUAUUUAUCAUCCUGAAGAUUUGGGACACAUACAGAGCAUUUUUGGAGCCUCUAAACACUCCACAACAGAAUAAUACACAUGACAGACACAAGAGAAAUGAAAACUCAGAAAGUUUUACAGAUAAAAUGUUAUUAUUGAAGUUUUAGAUGGUUAUCUAGAGAUAGAGUGUUAUCAGAUUGUCAGAUUAGCAGAUUCGUAUGAUGCCAAGAUGGGUGAUAUGAAUGAGUAAAAGAUAUGUAUCCACAUACACCUUAAGAAGAUCUUUGCUCCACAUAGAUGUGAAGUAGUACUGUGGACCCUUUGGUGUCAUACUAGGUAGAGAAGAUAUGGUAGUGACCAUGCAAUAUGGUACUGAUAAUGUUGAGAUAUAUAUAUCUAUAAGGAAGUAAGCAAAUUACAAGAUGAAGCUAGAAAUAUUGCCAAGACAUGGGAUCCUUUUGCAAACCUAAGUUCUGAAGUAGGAAUACUGACAUGGUUAAAAAGUGCUGCCAUAACCAUCAUUAUGAUCAUUCUUUUUGUUUUGUUCCAAUAUGCUUGUUAUAAGCUUAUAAUGUGCAUAAUUGUUAAGGCAUCCUGAACAUCUGAUCCUGUGGCUGCGAAUAGGAUUUAUCUGAGUAUGUAUUAUGAUAGAAGAAGGAUUAUAUAAUUGUGAGACAUAUUAUGUCUCAAAGAGAGGAUUUGUUAAGAACAUAGCAUGACCAUCUCCAUUUUAUAUUCAGGUUGCCAUGUUAUAGUUUAAAGGAAAGGUAUAAAAAAGCUUCACAUGAAGGAUAGAUGGUUAUCUAUAGAUACCUUCCACCUAGAUAUGUAUGAAUGGAAUUUCACCUCUGCUAAUGUUUGUUUAAGAUCUUAGGUCACAUCCAUAUAUUAACUGAACUUAUACAACAUAUACUAUCUAAUAGGAAAUGAUUAACCUGAAUGUAUUAUUGUAAUUACACUAUGCCCUUGAGAAACUCCUCCUUUGUCCUUCUAAAUCUGUAUAUAUAUGAGGGGCUAACUCAAGUAAAACAGAUGUCAUUUGAACACAA